GUGGGGAAUAUUGGGCAAUGGGCGAAAGCCUGACCCAGCAACGCCGCGUGAAGGAAGAAGGUCUUCGGAUCGUAAACUUCUAUCCUUGGUGAAGAUAAUGACGGUAGCCAAGAAGGAAGCCCCGGCUAACUACGUGCCAGCAGCCGCGGUAAUACGUAGGGGGCAAGCGUUGUCCGGAAUGAUUGGGCGUAAAGGGCGCGUAGGCGGCCCGGUAAGUCUGAAGUGAAAGUCCUGCUUUUAAGGUGGGAAUUGCUUUGGAUACUGUCGGGCUUGAGUGCAGGAGAGGUAAGCGGAAUUCCCGGUGUAGCGGUGAAAUGCGUAGAGAUCGGGAGGAACACCAGUGGCGAAGGCGGCUUACUGGACUGUAACUGACGCUGAGGCGCGAAAGUGUGGGGAGCAAACAGGAUUAGAAACCCCAGUAGUCC
rnacentral:rRNA from 1 species